rnacentral:tRNA from 1 species
GCCUGGGUGGCUCAGUCUGUUGAGCGUCCGACUUUGGCUCAGGUCCGGCUUCGAUCUCACGGUCUGUGGGUUCGAGCCCCGCGUCGGGCU